CGCUGCCGUUAUACUCUGUCGCCGUGCUGCCGUCGACUGGAGCUCGCCGCUGAGCUGCUGCACCGUCUCCAAGCCGUUGCGUCACUGCUCAUCUCUUCUUCACCGUCGCCGCUCAUCACCAUGGUCAUAUCCUCUGUCACCAAAUAUAAAAUCAGGACAUGGAAGUGGACAUAUUGAGCAGACUAAACCACCUAAAUCUUAUUUCCUUGAUUGGCUCCUGUGCAGAGAAACCAUUUUUCUGCUUCGCUUUAUUUUUGUAAUGGAAACAAAGCUCAAUUGCUGUGAAGAAUGUGCCUCAAAUUAUGAAAAGAAAUCUCAAUUUCUCAGACCAGGCCACAAGAAAACGUUACCUUUAUGGCUUCAGCCUCAUACCACCGAAACAAAUCAUCAGAAGGAUGAAUUAACCAGUUGAAAAGGAAAUGGAAUAGGCUAUGCCAGUGUCUUCACCAAACCAAACAAGAAGCUCAGGAUUAUUGGAGCAACAACAAUAGUUGGAAUGCAAAGUCCUACACUUUUAACAAUAAUUCAUCAAGUUCUGUGUCUUUUACAGAUAAACCAACACCAAUACAUAACUCCAAUCUUGUACCUAGAUUCAGACGUCAAAAUUCUUGCACCAUUGAGUUCAAUUUCAGCGAUAAAAGGCAAGCAACAACAGAACCAGUCUUAGGUUCCAUGGAAUUAUUGGAAGGUAAAGAAGUAAUAAAGACUACUCUUGCUCUUGGGAAUGGUGGUUCUGGUUCAGGUAGUGAAACGGUGGUGGUGGAAAAUAUAACCAAUAGAACACUGCGAAGAACUCAUUUUUGAAACAUAUCGCUUUUUUGAAUCCAGUUUUCCAAGAUUGUUUAACUAAUUUGUUGUUACAACUAACAGACCAGAAAACUCACUCUACAAAGUCUCUAGGUUAAUUUUAAUUUUGUUGUUUGGAUUUUGUUUGAAUUUAAUUUUUUUUCCAUGUGCUUUGAUGUGAGAAUGCAGACAGUAAUUUGGGUUUUACUGAGAUUUGAUUAAUAGUAUCAUAACAAGUUGGGGUUGGGGUUGAGUUCCCAUUAGAUAUAAGUUACAUAACUCUACCGUGUGAAGUGCUACUUCAUAAAUCAUAAUCAUUCUUAAGCUUAUUAUGCUGUAUGUAUCUGAUUCAUGUGCAAAAAAGUAGCUUAACUGUCCAUUCAUACCUCAAUUAUAUUCAAUUGCAUGUCAUUAUUCCAUUAUAUCUUUUCUAUUAUUCAAAGGUAAUAAAUCAUAGAACUGUUACAAUAAUGUAAAAACAUGAAUUAUGCGGAGUACCUGGAGAAAUAUUUUUUAUUUUAUUAGGUGAAAAAUUAACUUCUUAUCAUGAUUAAUUUGUGAAAUUUUGAUAAUAUUUCUGAUAUUUAUUUUUUCAUUGCUGGCUUUUUUAUUUUUUUCCCUAAAUUUUUUGUAUACUGGAUAUGGAAGGGAGCCUUGGAGCAAUGAUUUAAGUUUCUCCAAGUCAUUUCUAGGUCACGGGCUCAAGCUGUGUAAUUAGUCACUACCACUUGCAUUGAGUUAUGUGUUUCUUGGUUCACCGUCGCCGCUCAUUACCGCGCUCACCAAUGUCAAAGAAACUGUGUGCUCUCUCCCGACUGCUUCUCUGCUUUGCUGUGAAGCAUCAAGGUUUCCGAUGAGUCAAAGCAUCGAUCCCUAACAAGCGAGGUUGGCAAUUCGCUAUUUCGAUUUAUUAAAGUCAAUUCAUGAACACAGAAAAAAGAUUGAUAAUUCUUAUGGAUUCUGGCAGCAAAAAUAUUAGAUGGUAUUUUCUGGGUGGAAAUGAGGAGUUGGAGCAAAAGUCUGAUUCAGAGGCAAAGAAAGCACUGCAGAUGUUGUCCGAAUCUGACCUCCUUGCACUCGAAAGAAAUUUUCUGGAGCCACAGAAGACAAUAGAGUGUUCUCAAUGGCUAUGAAAAUCUGACUUCCAGAGCUUUCCAGCAAUGUAUAAUAGUUUAUACUUUGCUUCAGAAUUGAAGGCCCAAAACUGGCAUCCAACGCCAGCCUCCUACCCCAAUCCAGGCGUCCAGCACCCAAAGGAGGAGACCAGUGUCCAAACGCCCAAAGAGGACCCCCUAGCCAGCGUUCAACACCCUAGAGGCCUCCUAAUACGUGGAUCUUAUCAAAGCUCAGCCCAAACACUCACCAAGUGAGCCCCAGAAGUGGAUUUUAGCACUAAAA